rnacentral:rRNA from 1 species
CAGCAGCCGCGGUAAUACAGAGGCCUCAAGCGUUGUUCGGAUUCAUUGGGCGUAAAGGGAGCGUAGGCGGUCGGGUAAGUGGGAUGUGAAAUCCUGGGGCUCAACCUCAGAACUGCAUUCCAUACUGCUUGGCUAGAGUAUUGGAGAGGUGAGUGGAAUUCACGGUGUAGCAGUGAAAUGCGUAGAUAUCGUGAGGAAGACCAGCGGCGAAGGCGGCUCACUGGACAAUUACUGACGCUGAUGCUCGAAGGCCAGGGGAGCAAACGGGAUUAGAUACCCCAGUAGUCCCUGUCUCUUAUAC